CCUGAGCCGAAGGUAGAGGCUUACCCCACGGAGCCCCCCAGGCGCCCCUGUUUCAUGCUUUUUCAAUCCCAUGUUUAUCUGCUAUUUUCAAUCAGUCACAAUACAAUAAUUCUUGGCAAUAACCAUGAAAAUAGCUGGUUUUACGACUGUUAUUCCAAAAGUCUACUGAUCAAAUAUUAGGUCUCCAGGUCGUGUCAGGGACAGGCCAGUCCUGAAAGGGGCUAACAUUUCCUCUGACUUGCCAAGUGGAGUUGCCUUGGGUCCCCUGGAAAGUCGUAAGCUUCACUUUUUCUCCUCUUUGCUUUUAUUCAACUCUCCAAAUGCAGACAUUAUGUAUGAUAAACAGAAACUGGCAGAAAACACGGGUGUCCUUCCUCUUUUUCCUGUAAAAAUGCCGCCUGUGCUGUUCUACACUAGACAGAUUUGUCCUGUCGUCCAACUUUCUUAAUUUUCUAUCUGCAGCUGCCUAAGGACGUCUCUAUGCCCAUAGCAAAAGCUGAAGGAGAAAGCUCAGCACUCGACAUAACUAAAACACGUUGGUUGGUUCCCGCUACUACUGAUUUUUGCAGACCCUUCUACCUCAUUAAGAUGCUCAUGGGUUCGCUCUGUACCCUCCUCUGUUCUCUGCCUCUUGCUUCCCUCUGGCUUCCUGAGCAGCUGUAGCAUCUGCAGAUGGGUCUUUCUCUAUGUUUUCCUUUUCUCCACCUGCCCAGUGGGAUACCUUGACCCCUUCCCUGUAUUAUACGGCUUCUUCUCUAUUGUGAGAGCUUGGCACAUGGCAGCCACUCAAUAAAUAUUCCUUCUUUUUCUUUUAUUUAUUAAAAGCUGUAUUUGAAUCAGUAGGAAAAAUGUCUUCUUCAGAUAAUAAAACCGAGCCCUUGAAAAUUUGUGUUAAUGUCACAGUUUUCGAAUUAUAAAGUUAAGACUAGAAGUCAGUGUCAGUAAUUGAUUCUAAAAACAAGAUCAAAUUAUCCAAACCAUAAGAAAGAGCGUAGAGAAGACGUGGUAAGGAAGCCCUUCAGGAGACCUUAAAAUGUCCUUAAAAAUCAGGGCGUGGGGGAAGAAUCUGUCAAAUAAGACAAGCUGGAAGCAAAGAGGAGGCUUUCAACACCAGCUUCUGAAACAAGGGAUUGGCAAACAGUCUUUCGUUCCAUGGCCCAUCUACAAAGCAGAGGCAAGUUCCUUUCCUGGAAGUCUAUUGUCUCUUCUGUCUCCUGAUGAGAGCAGAUUUGUCCUUUCUUCCUCUGAUUAUUGCCUGUUUGAGCGUCUGUCAUCAGAGGCUGGAACAGAAAUCUGUUCUUUGUAUUCCAGUGACACCACCGCUCGGCUGUCUCAAGUGGUGGCCAGGCCAGGUCUCAUGGCUCCCUGUCCCUCUGUAGCCGCACCAGCAAGGCCAGAAUGCAGGACCAGAGAUGUGGAGCUCAGCAGAAGUCAGGGCCUCGAACUGCGCUCCACGACCUUGACUUGUUUGUGUGCCCUUUGAAUAUGCAUUUCCUCAAAGGGGGCUGACAGUGAUAACGUGAAGAGCUGCAAAUUCAGUUUCUAAGAGUUUCCAAGGAAUUUCAGGAGGUGUCAAUUAAUACAUAAAAUGACAAGUAAAGAUCUGCAGAGAGCCUGUGGAAAAAAAUUUUCAAUUGUAAUGAAUACAAAGAUUUUGUAUGAUUAAGCAGGAAAAUAUGUACACCGUUGGCAAUUUCCAGUAAACUAUUAGUUCAGCUAUGCCUUUCACUGUCACCGGUGUCAGACCACGAGGUGCCCUGGGGGAGAACAAUUUAUUCCAUGGCUUCCAGAACACAUUUGACUCACAUCCUGUCUCCUAGGUUGUUUUACAAUGUAUCACGUUUCUCAUUUGACAAGAUAAGCAUUUUUUGGGUGGGUGGCAAAUCACACAUCUUGUAAGUCUUCUUUUCUCUUGGGGAUUGUGGAUAGAAUCCAGGGGAACCCAUGAGUUUAGAUGCACAGAAAACUUGUGUUUUCAUUACCUUUGGCUGACAUGCAGGGUCUGCUUCCAUUACGGCUAGAGGAAUAAACUGCAUAGUAUCAGCAACACCCAUGACUUUGUCCCCGCUGUAAAUCAUAGAUACAGUCGUGACACAUGUAAUUAUUGCAGAUAUCUGGAAAUAACAUUUUUGAUCAGCAAUAUUUUAAAACUAUGAUGGUUAUCAGACUCACCCAUGAAUCUUGUUAGGUAAAUGUGUUAGUAGAAGCACAUGUAUUAUUGUAUCACAAAUUUGUUUUUAAUAUUUGGAUAAUGGAAUUUCAACAUAACCUACUUUGUUAGUAAUCUGUGUGUUUUGUCUUGGACAUUUAAAAAUACUCUGACAAGAAGAUCCACAAGCUUCACAUUAUUGCGGAAGCGGUGAAACGCGUCCAAAGCAGUGACAAGCAGAGCGGGGCUUCUCAAAGCUGAGUGUGGGUCAGAAUCCCCGCAGAGCUUGUUAACACGCUGGCCACGGAGGCCUCCCCAGAGCUUCGGAUCCAGCCAGUCCAGGGCGGGGGAGUUGGGGGCUGAGAACGUGCGUUUAGAAUUGGUUCCCGUUGAAGCUGAGGCGGCGCGUCCAGGGACCGCACUUCGGAAAGGACCGCUACAGCGCUGCUUGGAAGAGAGAGUGGGGAGCUCCUAAAAUCAAAGCCUCGGCUUGUUUUACGAAAUCAGAGAGAUGCUGGCAAGUGACAGUUCAGAAGAACUUGAAGUGCGCACACAUUAAAAAGAAAUGCUCAGAUGACUUUCUGCCAUCAGAGCGCGGCAAAUGCACGGUGUGAAGAUUUGUAGCUUAUACACUUGGUCUGCACUCAUCACGAGAACGAUGUCCCUCUCAGAAGCCCGUCCAAGGCAGGACACUUUGGAAUCUAAUUGCGUAGACGCUGAGAUGAGCUGACGAACAGCAAAGGGUCUUCCCGUCCGCAAUCGGUGCAAGCUC